GUGGCCAGCCGCCGCGGUAAUACCGGCAGCCCGAGUGAUGACCGAUCUUAUUGGGCCUAAAGCGUCCGUAGCUGGCUACGCAAGUCCGUCGGGAAAUCCACCCGCCCAACGGGUGGGCGUCCAGUAGAAACUGGCCGGCUUGGAACCGGAAGGCUCAGAGAGUACGUCCGGGGUAGGAGUGAAAUCCCGUAAUCCCGGACGAACUACCGAUGGCGAAAGCACUCUGAGAAGACGGCUUCGACAGUGAGGGACGAAAGCUCGGGUCUCAAACCGGAUUAGAAACCCUAGUAGUCC
rnacentral:rRNA from 1 species